GGAUGGGAUCAUACCCAGCACUAAAGCACC
rnacentral:rRNA from 1 species